rnacentral:rRNA from 1 species
AAACUCCGCAAUGCGCGCAAGCGUGACGGGGGGAUUCUGAGUGCUUCGGUCUCACCGAGGCUUUUCGUGAGGGUACAAACCUCGCGGAAUAAGUGGUGGGCAAGACCGGUGCCAGCCGCCGCGGUAACCCCGGCGCCACAAGUGGGAACCACGUUUAUUGGGUCUAAAGCAUCCGUAGCCGGCUCGCUAAAUGCCUUGUGAAAUCGUUCUGCCUAACAGGACGGCGUGCAAGGUAGACUGGCGGGCUUGGAACCAGGAAAGGUAAGCGGUAUUCUGUGGGGAGCGGUAAAAUGCUAUAAUCCACGGAGGACCACCGAUGGCGAAGGCAGUUUACUUGAAUGGAUUCGACGGUGAGGGAUGAAAGCCAGGGGAGCGAUCCGGAUUAGAUACCCGAGUAGUCCUGGCCGUAAACGCUGCGUGCAAGAUGUUGCACAAUCUUCGCGAUUGUGCAGUGUCGUAACGAAGGUGUUAAGCACGCCACCUGGGAAGUACGGUCGCAAGGCUGAAACUUAA